rnacentral:rRNA from 2 species
UUUAAUGUGUUUUUUUUUUCUGCUCAGACGAACGCUGGCGGCGUGCUAAUACAUGCAAGUCGAACGAACUCUGGUAUGAUUGGUGCUGCAUCAUGAUUUACAUUGAGUGAGUGGCGAACUGGUGAGUAACACGUGGGAAACCUGCCCAGAAGCGGGGGAUAACACCUGGAAACAGAUGCUAAUACCGCAUAACAACUUGGACCGCAUGGUCCGAGCUUGAAAGAUGGCUUCGGCUAUCACUUUUGGAUGGUCCCGCGGCGUAUUAGCUAGAUGGUGGGGUAACGGCUCACCAUGGCAAUGAUACGUAGCCGACCUGAGAGGGUAAUCGGCCACAUUGGGACUGAGACACGGCCCAAACUCCUACGGGAGGCAGCAGUAGGGAAUCUUCCACAAUGGACGAAAGUCUGAUGGAGCAACGCCGCGUGAGUGAAGAAGGGUUUCGGCUCGUAAAACUCUGUUGUUAAAGAAGAACAUAUCUGAGAGUAACUGUUCAGGUAUUGACGGUAUUUAACCAGAAAGCCACGGCUAACUACGUGCCAGCAGCCGCGGUAAUACGUAGGUGGCAAGCGUUGUCCGGAUUUAUUGGGCGUAAAGCGAGCGCAGGCGGUUUUUUAAGUCUGAUGUGAAAGCCUUCGGCUCAACCGAAGAAGUGCAUCGGAAACUGGGAAACUUGAGUGCAGAAGAGGACAGUGGAACUCCAUGUGUAGCGGUGAAAUGCGUAGAUAUAUGGAAGAACACCAGUGGCGAAGGCGGCUGUCUGGUCUGUAACUGACGCUGAGGCUCGAAAGUAUGGGUAGCAAACAGGAUUAGAUACCCUGGUAGUCCAUACCGUAAACGAUGAAUGCUAAGUGUUGGAGGGUUUCCGCCCUUCAGUGCUGCAGCUAACGCAUUAAGCAUCCGCCUGGGAGUCGCCCCCCG